GGGCUUGUAGCUCAAUUGGUUAGAGCAGGGGCCUCUUAAGCCCAAGGUUUCGGGUUCGAUCCCCGACAAGCCUA
rnacentral:tRNA from 1 species